AGAACGAACGCUGGCGGCAUGCCUAACACAUGCAAGUCGAACGAUCUCUUCGGAGAUAGUGGCGCACGGGUGCGUAACGCGUGGGAAUCUGCCCUUGGGUUCGGAAUAACAGUUGGAAACGACUGCUAAUACCGGAUGAUGACGUAAGUCCAAAGAUUUAUCGCCCAGGGAUGAGCCCGCGUAGGAUUAGCUAGUUGGUGUGGUAAAGGCUCACCAAGGCGACGAUCCUUAGCUGGUCUGAGAGGAUGAUCAGCCACACUGGGACUGAGACACGGCCCAGACUCCUACGGGAGGCAGCAGUAGGGAAUAUUGGACAAUGGGCGCAAGCCUGAUCCAGCAAUGCCGCGUGAGUGAUGAAGGCCUUAGGGUUGUAAAGCUCUUUUACCCGAGAUGAUAAUGACAGUAUCGGAGAAUAAGCCCCGGACUAACUCCGUGCCAGCGAGCCGC
rnacentral:rRNA from 1 species